rnacentral:rRNA from 1 species
UACGAACUGUGCGAACGUUAUUCGGAAUCACUGGGCUUAAAGGGUGCGUAGGCGGUUAUCUAAGUCAGGUGUGAAAUCUCUCGGCUCAACCGGGAAACUGCGCUUGAAACUGGGUGACUGGAGGGAUGCAGGGGUGUGUGGAACUUCCGGUGGAGCGGUGAAAUGUGUAGAUAUCGGAAGGAACGCCAGCAGCGAAAGCGGCACACUGGGCAUUUACUGACGCUGAGGCACGAAAGCUAGGGGAGUGAACGGG